AACCUCCAGAGCCAGUUCUAUCCUCGAUAAAUUCAGAGUGAACUACUCGUGGGGAAAAUCGUUGCGAUGUUGGGGAACUGGCGGAAUAUGUCAACACUGCAACUGAUUAAUUGCAGCCAGAUCCAUAAGGAAUCAGAGGUGCCGAGACAGAUUGCAAUUAACACAAUCUAUUUGGUCAUUCUGAGCUGCUGAGGAUAUUCGAACACAGCAAAUUUAAAGCUGAACAGCCUGUGGGGAGCUAGGGAAGUGAUUGCUGGGCCUCUUGCUGAGAUCUUUGAAUCAUCGAUAGUCACAGAAAGAACUGAAAAAUUGAAGUAAAUGAUUACCUUCUGAUGUUCUCUGAGCCAAAUGGGUUUUCUCCUCGAGUUUAAGCCCAGGAAUGUUGGUAUUACUCAAAGAGAUUGUGAAACAAUGCAGACAGGAUGGUACCAGCGAAGCCAAUAUUUAUUGCCCAUCCCUAAUUGCCCAGAAGGCAGUUAAGAGUCAAUCACAUUGCUCUGGAGUCACAUGCAGACCAGACCAGGGAUCUCUGAGGUGUUGGCAACUUUUGAACACCGAAAUGGGGUGACAAUGUGAAAAGGUUUUUUUAUUCUCAU